UCCUGAAGUGGAUAAAACUGAUCGACAACUUUGAAGGAGAGUAUGACUAUGUGACCAACGAGGGGACAGUGUUCACAUUCAAGACAAAUCGCCAUUCGCCCAACUAUCGCCUGAUCAACAUUGACUUCACGGAUCCGGAGGAGUCAAAGUGGAAAGUGCUCGUUCCUGAGCAUGAGAAAGAUGUCUUAGAAUGGGUAGCUUGCGUGAGGUCUAACUUUUUGGUGUUAUGCUACCUUCACGACGUGAGAAACAUUCUGCAGCUUCACGACCUAGCCACCGGUGCUCUCCUCAAGACCUUCCCACUGGAGGUCGGCAGCGUUGUGGGGUACAGCGGUCAGAAGAAGGACACCGAAAUCUUCUAUCAGUUUACUUCCUUUUUAUCUCCAGGUAUCAUUUAUCACUGUGACCUCACCAAAGAGGAGCUGGAGCCACGAGUCUUCCGAGAGGUUACUGUGAAAGGGAUCGAUGCUUCCGAUUACCAGACAGUCCAG